GCCGGGGUGGCGGAAUCGGCAGACGCGGAGGACUUAAAAUCCUUUGCCCGAAAGGGCGUGCGGGUUCAAGCCCCGCUCCCGGCA
rnacentral:tRNA from 1 species